ensembl:snRNA U6 U6 spliceosomal RNA
GUACUAGCUUUGGCAGCACACAGAUUAAAAUUGGAAGGACACAGAGAAGACUAGCAUGGCUUUUGUGUAAGAAAGACAUGCAAAUGUGGAAGAAUUGCACAUUUUGU